GGCUUCGUGGUUCAGUUGGUAGAGCGCUUGCUGCGUUGAGGCAUAGUGUUUCUGCUGCUGGUUCGAAUCCAGCCGAAGCCC